rnacentral:misc_RNA from 1 species
CCCAGGCCAGGACAGUGAGCCCAAGAACUGAUGGGUCAAUCCCAAAUACAUACCCUAGUGAAACCAACAGAGAGACCAGCUCCUCAGCUAUAAUAUAUGUCCAAGUUAUACUCAUUAAAAACCCACCAACUAGCCAAAGGAACAGACACUUGUUUGGUGGGCUAGACUUCUUAGUGGAGACAAAUGCAAGAUUUCCAAGAAACAUUCCUAUAAACCCUGCCGUCAUGUAGAUCACUAGGCUGCUUCUAGAACCCAAUUUUUUUUCUCUUUGGGUGUCACAUAGUGCUGCCAGUAGAAGUGGUGCCAAUGUCACAGAUGUAACUGCAU